UAGAAUAUAAACUUGGUGUAGAUUGUUGCUGGCUCUUGAUUUGAGCAAUUGUGCACGUCUAUUCCGACUUUAUUAACUCCACCUGUGCACCUUGUGUAGAUCUGAAUAUCUCUCGAGUUUAAAGCUCGGAUUAAAGAAUUGCUGACCAGCUUUUCUUUAUUGUUCAGAUCUAUGAUUCAAUUAUACCCCGUAUUAGAAUCAUUGUGGAUAGGUUUAUAUUAAACCAAUAAUAUGAAAUA
rnacentral:misc_RNA from 1 species